AAAAAGCUCCUGGAACCGAUAAAUGAAUUCAGUAAAGUUUCAGGAUACAAAAUAAGGUAUAAAAAUGAGCUUCUGCACUGCAAAAGAAACUAUCACCAGAAUAUACGUACAAAUAAACAAACGUGUGCAUGUGUCUUUAUAGCAGCAUGAUUUAUAAUCCUUUGGGUAUAUAUCCAGUAAUGGGAUGGCACCCAAUACCAGAGCACCCAGAUUCAUAAAGCUGGUCCUUACAGAUCUAGAAAGAGACUUAGACUCCCACACAAUAAUAAUUCCUUAUUCUUUCAUGAUAAGAGCCCUCAACAGACUAGGCAUCAAAGGAAUAUACCUCAAAAUAAUAAGAGCCAUCUGUGACAAAAAAAAUCAACAAAUUUGGUGAAAUAAACUGUCACAUAAAGACACUAUUCCCUUCCUGUCUACCUCUUAUCUUUAUUUCCCUAUUUCAAAAAUCUUAUUAUACAAUUUGCCAGUCUGUGUCUUUUAACUGGGGCAUUUAGUGCAUUUACAUUUAAAGCUAAUAUUGUUAUGUGUGAAUUUGAUCCUGUCAUUAUGAUGUUAGCUGGUUAUUUUGCUCGUUAGUUGAUGCUGUUUCUUCCUAGCAUCGAUGGUCUUUACAUUUGGCAUGUUUCUGCAGUGGCUGAUACCGGUUGUUCCU
rnacentral:lncRNA from 1 species